GACGAACGCUGGCGGCGUGCUUAACACAUGCAAGUCGAACGGAAAGGCCCUGCUUUUGUGGGGUGCUCGAGUGGCGAACGGGUGAGUAACACGUGAGUAACCUGCCCUUGACUUUGGGAUAACUUCAGGAAACUGGGGCUAAUACCGGAUAGGAGCUCCUGCUGCAUGGUGGGGGUUGGAAAGUUUCGGCGGUUGGGGAUGGACUCGCGGCUUAUCAGCUUGUUGGUGGGGUAGUGGCUUACCAAGGCUUUGACGGGUAGCCGGCCUGAGAGGGUGACCGGCCACAUUGGGACUGGGAUACGGCCCAGACUCCUACGGGAGGCAGCAGUGGGGAAUAUUGCACAAUGGGCGGAAGCCUGAUGCAGCAACGCCGUGUGCGGGAUGACGGCCUUCGGGUUGUAAACCGCUUUCGCCUGUGACGAAGCGUGAGUGACGGUAAUGGGUAAAGAAGCACCGGCUAACUACGUG
rnacentral:rRNA from 1 species